rnacentral:lncRNA from 1 species
AGAGUCACAAUGGCAGCCAGAUUCAGGUGCGGCCAUUUGUGUGUCCCCGAGGUUCCUCGCGGGCCGGCAUCCCACGCCGAGGGUGGUGGUGGCAGGCUUUCCAGAAAGGCAGCACACCAGGCUCAGCUCUGCUGGCGAGCAGGAGGCGACGGCAGAGGAAACUUCAACCCGAUGAACUUCCUGGUUGCGGGGACAUUUGCCUCCUCCUGCCACUCACCACCUCUGCUCUGGUCCCUCCCUCCAAGAAUCCUCAUAGCGUCCUCUCUCCCCACUCUCUCCCAUCCCGCGUCUCCCAUAUUUGCCCCAGCUUGGCUCAGGGCCACAGUUCUGCACUCUUCAGCCGGCGGCGCCACCAGCAGUUGUUUCUACGCGGGAAAUAGGGCAACAGCAUCCCAGCACAGCUGAGUGCCCAAGGAUGGUCAGCCGGGUAGGGCAAGAAGCUUCUUUCAGGGAUUCUGAUCUCACGAAACAAGAGUAAUGAUGGCACUUCACUCAGAGGUUUGUCCUGAGGCUUAAAUGAGGCAACAUGGACACAGCAUUUUAGCACAAGGCCAGAUGUGAUGGUGCUGAUGUUUAAGAAGAAAGUCCUUAUUAGGAGGAUGCUGCUGAAAUAUUUAAGGACAAAGUGUCAUAAUGUCUGCAUUUACUCCCAAAUGUCUCAUCAAAAAUGUGCAAAUAUGAAGUAAAUGGGGCAAAAUCUUAAUAAGAAGUGAAUGUAGGUGGUGAAGCCCCCUAAUGUCCUGACUCCACAGUUCCUGUCCCAUGACCAGGGCCAGCUCACCAAAGAGCUAUAGCAGCACAUAAAGUCAGUGACAGGCCCAUGCAAGUACCAAAGGAAGCCAAGACUGACCAUGAGGAACACUUGGAGCUCAGGAAGGAAAGAUCAGCCCAGAAGCAGGGACAGGGAGCUGGUUGGGGAGGAUGAGAAGUCAGAAGGUCUGCGAAGUUUCCAGAGAGGACCUGUCUUUGGGAUGGCGCAUCAGGGGUUCAGGUGGGGGAGGGGGUGUUGGAAGAAUGUGGACAUCACAUGGAAUGCCCACUGUGAGGCACUAUGGUACCAGGACCGAGGAUUGGUGGAGAGGAAGUAUAAAGCCCCAGGGUUGCUAAGGUAGCGCCCAGACAGGAGAAGGUUUGGUAGAAACC